rnacentral:rRNA from 1 species
AGCGAUGAGGUCUCUUUCGGGGGACAUAUCCCCGGUAGAGGGGUGAAUAACGCGGGGGUCACCUACCCCCGAGACGGGUAUCCCCCUAUGAAACGAGGGCUAAUUUAGGAUGACUUCCAGAUCGAGGAAAGGAGUUUGCGCUCUGGGAAGGGAUUGCGGCCCGUUUUUUUGUUGUUCGGGUAAAGGCCCGUUUUUGCCCCCGUUUGUGCCACCCGUGAAAGGCCCUGGGUAUCCCGGGCACUGAGGCCCGGCCUAAUCUCCUACAUCCCCCCCCUUCUCGGAAUUUUGCACCAUAGGCCAAAGCCUGAUGCGCCGACGCCCCGAGAGUGAACAAACGAUUCGGGUCGUGCUCUUUUUUGUACUGGAACAGGAAGGACGGUACCCUAAGAAAACACGUCCGUGAACUACGUGUCACCAGCCGCCGUAAGACGCAGGACUCUAUCGAUAUCUAGAAUUACUGGGAGUCCCUGGCCAGCAUGCGACUUGAUCAGUUGCUCGUGACAGCCGCGCGCUCCCCGCGAGGAACCCCGAAUAUACUGUUUAGCUUUAGGGCAUCAGAGGAGAAUGGAAUUCCGGGAAUAUCGCUAAAUUGCGCUGAUAUCCGGAGGAAUACCGAUGGCACAACGCAGCUCCACUGGGAUGUACCUGACUCUAACUGGCGAAAGAUAGGGGAGUGAACAGGAUUAGAGACCCUGGUAGUCACAGCUGUAAACGCUGGGUGUUAGGUGUGAGAUGUAGAAGUUCCGUGCAGGAGCAAACGCGAUAAGCACCCCUCCUGGGAAUUGCGGUCGCAAGGCUAAAACUCAAACGAAUUGACGGGGCCCCGCACAAGCAGCGAAGCGUGUGGUUCAAUUAGAUGCUACACGAAGAACCUUCCCUGGGUGUGACAUGCACGUGGUUGGAAGGGGAAAGCCUAAGGACCCUUCGUGGAGCGUACACAGGUGGGGCAUUUCUGUCGUCAGAUCUUGCCGUGAGGUGUCGGGUUAAAUCCCGUAACGAGCGCAACCCUUGCCCCUAGUUACAAGUGUCUAAGGGGACUGCCGGCGGGAAGCCGGAGGAAGGUGGGGAUGACGUCAAGUCAGCAUGGCCCUUAUAUCCAGGUCUACACACACGCUACAAUGGUCAGUACAAAGGGUAGCGAAGUCGCGAGGCGGAGCGAAUCUCAACAAAGCUGAUUGUAGUUCGGAUUGCAGGCUGCAACCCGCCUGCAUGAAGCUGGAGUUGUUAGUAACCGCGCGUCAGCCAUAUUGCGGUGAAUACGUACCCGGGGCUUGUACACACCGCCCGUCACGUCAUGGGAGUCGGCAACGCCUGAAGCCGGU